rnacentral:tRNA from 1 species
GAGCGUGUAGCUCAGUUGGCUAGAGCACUACCUUGACACGGUAGGGGUCGUAGGUUCAAGUCCUAUCACGCUCACCA